rnacentral:rRNA from 1 species
UAACCUGCCCAAGAGAUCGGGAUAACACCUGGAAACAGAUGCUAAUACCGGAUAACAACAGAUGAUGCCUAUCAACUGUUUAAAAGAUGGUUCUGCUAUCACUCUUGGAUGGAACUGCGGUGCAUUAGCUAGUUGGUAGGGUAACGGCCUACCAAGGCGAUGAUGCAUAGCCGAGUUGAGAGACUGAUCGGCCACAUUGGGACUGAGACACGGCCCAAACUCCUACGGGAGGCAGCAGCC